CUUCUUUGAAACCACACAUGAUAGAAGGGCUUUAUAUUUGCAGCAGCACUACUAAAGUCGGCAGGAAUGUUGCUGCAGGAAAACAUCCCUGCAGAUCACCAUCAUUGUCAGACUGACUGUGCCUCCUCUGUGCAGUGUCAAGAUCCUCCCUAAAUGAGUGUCUAUCCUGCUUCUGUGCUGCUUGCCACACAUCAAACACUGGCCGGAUGACAGGGAGGAUCCACUCUGAAGUCACUGGACAUGAUGAGGAUCAUAUGGGACUUUAUAGUUUCACAGAAAUGUUGUGCUCUUUGAUUACAGGUUUUAAAUGGACAUAAUGACUGCCUCUCUCUGAUCUGACAGGCUAAAGGAUUGUUUUCAUUGUUAGUGCUCUGUACAGUGUAUGCUUAUUUAAUAUUUCAUCACAGAGCAAACCUUUAUUUAUUUAACAUAUUUUUAUUUUGUUUUAAUGUUGAAUUAACUGUGGGGAUUUUUUUAAGUGGGCACUCGGGAUGUCAUAUGACCAGAAAUGUGGUAACUGUAAUUCAAC